GGGGGCCAGGGAGGGGGAGAGUGAUCAGCAUGCCGCGCUGUGAGACCCUUAUGGUUGUAAGCACUUUAAGCGAGGAGGAGGCUACUUUAGUUAUACCUAGAGAUAGUGGACGUUACUCGCAGAAUAAGCACCGGCUAACUCUGUGCCAGCAGCCGCGGUAAUACGGGAGCCAGCAGCCGC
rnacentral:rRNA from 1 species